CCUACGGGGGGCUGCAGUCGAGAAUAGUCUACAAUGGACGAAAGUCUGAUAGUGCGACGCCGCGUGAACGAAGAAUCCCUUCGGGGUGUAAAGUUCUUUUAUAUGUGAGCAAUGCUUUUUAUGUGAAUAGCAUGAGAAGAGAGAUAUUAGCAUAUGAAUAAGCAACGGCUAACUCCGUGCCAGCAGCCGCGGUAACACGGGGGUUGCAAGCGUUGUCCGGAAUUACUAGGCGUAAAGGGCAGGUAGGCGGAUCUAUAAGUUUGAUGUUAAAGGCAGCGGCUCACCCGCUGUACGGCGUCGGAUACUGUAGAUCUGGAAUGCGGUUGGGGAAGACAGAAUUCCUGGUGUAGCGGUGGAAUGCGCAGAGAUCAGGAGGAAUACCAAAGGCGAAGGCAGUCUUCUAAGCCGUUAUUGACGCUAAACUGCGAAGGUGUGGGUAUCAAACAGGCUUAGAUACCCUGGUAGUC
rnacentral:rRNA from 1 species